rnacentral:misc_RNA from 1 species
GAGAGAGAGAGAGAGAGAGAGAGGCAAUAAUGGAAAUCUACAAUAAGUCCAAGCAUUUUGGUCAACGAACUAUGGCCAAAGCCUGUUUGGAACUGAUACAAGUUGGACUGAACUGAAUCCUUUUUAGUGUUAGUGAAAAGCCAAAAGCACUCCCUGCUGGUUUUUUCACUACAUUGCAAGAAGCUCAUAGUUGAGAAGAGAACUUCAAUUGUUGUUUACUGACACA